GGCAGACGGGUGAGUAAUGUAUAGGAAUCUACCUAGUAGUACGGAAUAAUUGUUGGAAACGGCAACUAAUACCGUAUACGCCCUACGGGGGAAAAAUUUAUUGCUAUUAGAUGAGCCUAUAUUAGAUUAGUUAGUUGGUGAGGUAAAGGCUUACCAAGACAAUGAUCUAUAGCUGAUCUGAGAGGAUGAUCAGCCACACUGGAACUGAGAUACGGUCCAGACUCCUACGGGAGGCAGCAGUGGGGAAUAUUGGACAAUGGGCGAAAGCCUGAUCCAGCCAUGCCGCAUGAGUGAAGAAGGCCUUCGGGUUGUAAAGCUCUUUUAGUGAGGAAGAUAAUGACGGUACUCACAGAAGAAGUCCUGGCUAACUCCGUGCCAGCAGCCGCGGUAAUACGGAGAGGGCUAGCGUUAUUCGGAAUCAUUGGGCGUAAAGGGCGCGUAGGCGGGUUAGUAAGUUAAAAGUGAAAUCCCAAGGCUCAACCUUGGAACUGCUUUUAAAACUGCUAGUCUAGAGAUUGAAAGAGGAUAGAGGAAUUCCUAGUGUAGAGAUGAAAUUCGUAAAUAUUAGGAGGAACACCAGUGGCGAAGGCGUCUAUCUGGUUCAAAUCUGACGCUGAGGCGCGAAGGCGUGGGGAGCAAACAGGAUUAGAUACCCUGGUAGUCCACGCUGUAAACGAUGAAUGUUAAAUAUGGGAAGUUUACUUUCUGUAUUAUAGCUAACGCGUUAAACAUUCCGCCUGGGGACUACGGUCGCAAGAUUAAAACUCAAAGGAAUUGACGGGGNCCCGCACAAGCGGUGGAGCAUGUGGUUUAAUUCGAUGCNACGCNAAAAAC
rnacentral:rRNA from 1 species